UCAAGAAACUUCCACAAUGGGCGAAAGCCUGAUGGAGCGACGUCGCGUGAUGGACGAAGUGCUUCGGCACGUAAACAUCUUUUAUGUGGGAUGAAAUUAUUGACAGUACCACAUGAAUAAGGGGCUCCUAACUCUGUGCCAGCAGGAGCGGUAAUACAGAGGCCCCAAGCGUUAUCCGGAAUCACUGGGCGUAAAGGGUGUCGAGGCGGUUGUAUUAGUCGUUCGUAAAAUCUACGAGCUUAACUUGUAGGCGGCGAACGAAACGGUACGACUUGAGGUUUGGAGAGGUGCGUGGAACUCACGGUGUAGGGGUGAAAUCCGUUGAUAUUAGGAAGAACACCAGUGGCGAAGGCGGCUCACUGGCCCGAUACUGACGCUGAGGUGCGAAAGCGUGGGGAGCAAACAGGAUUAGAU
rnacentral:rRNA from 1 species